rnacentral:rRNA from 1 species
GACGAACGCUGGCGGCGUGCUUAACACAUGCAAGUCGAACGGAAAGGCCCUGCUUUUGUGGGGUGCUCGAGUGGCGAACGGGUGAGUAACACGUGAGUAACCUGCCCUUGACUUUUGGAUAACUUCAGGAAACUGGGGCUAAUACCGGAUAGUAGCUCCUGCUGCAUGGUGGGGGUUGGAAAGUUUCGGCGGUUGGGGAUGGACUCGCGGCUUAUCAGCUUGUUGGUGGGGUAGUGGCUUACCAAGGCUUUGACGGGUAGCCGGCCUGAGAGGGUGACCGGCCACAUUGGGACUGAGAUACGGCCCAGACUCCUACGGGAGGCAGCAGUGGGGAAUAUUGCACAAUGGGCGGAAGCCUGAUGCAGCAACGCCGCGUGCGGGAUGACGGCCUUCGGGUUGUAAACCGCUUUCGCCUGUGACGAAGCGUGAGUGACGGUAAUGGGUAAAGAAGCACCGGCUAACUACGUG